rnacentral:rRNA from 1 species
GGAUGAACGCUGGCGGCGUGCCUAACACAUGCAAGUCGAACGGAGAUGCGAUGUGAGCGAGAGGUGCUUGCACUGAUUAAUCUUUUCGUAUCUUAGUGGCGGACGGGUGAGUAACGCGUGGGUAACCUGCCUUAUACCGGGGGAUAACACUUAGAAAUAGGUGCUAAUACCGCAUAAGCGCACGGUGUCGCAUGACACAGUGUGAAAAACUCCGGUGGUAUAAGAUGGACCCGCGUCUGAUUAGCCAGUUGGCAGGGUAACGGCCUACCAAAGCGACGAUCGGUAGCCGGACUGAGAGGUUGAACGGCCACAUUGGGACUGAGACACGGCCCAGACUCCUACGGGAGGCAGCAGUGGGGAAUAUUGCACAAUGGGGGAAACCCUGAUGCAGCGACGCCGCGUGGAGGAAGAAGGUCUUCGGAUUGUAAACUCCUGUUGUUGAGGAAGAUAAUGACGGUACUCAACAAGGAAGUGACGGCUAACUACGUGCCAGCAGCCGCGGUAAAACGUAGGUCACAAGCGUUGUCCGGAAUUACUGGGUGUAAAGGGAGCGCAGGCGGGAAGACAAGUUGGAAGUGAAAUCCAUGGGCUCAACCCAUGAACUGCUUUCAAAACUGUUUUUCUUGAGUAGUGCAGAGGUAGGCGGAAUUCCCGGUGUAGCGGUGGAAUGCGUAGAUAUCGGGAGGAACACCAGUGGCGAAGGCGGCCUACUGGGCACCAACUGACGCUGAGGCUCGAAAGUGUGGGUAGCAAACAGGAUUAGAUACCCUGGUAGUCCACACUGUAAACGAUGAUUACUAGGUGUUGGAGGAUUGACCCCUUCAGUGCCGCAGUUAACACAAUAAGUAAUCCACCUGGGGAGUACGACCGCAAGGUUGAAACUCAAAGGAAUUGACGGAAGGG